UACGUAGGGUGCAAGCGUUGUCCGGAAUUACUGGGCGUAAAGCGUGCGUAGGUGGUUUGUUAAGUCUGCUGUGAAAUCCCCGGGCUCAACCUGGGAAUGGCAGUGGAUACUGGCAAGCUAGAGUGCGGUAGAGGGUAGUGGAAUUCCCGGUGUAGCGGUGAAAUGCGUAGAGAUCGGGAGGAACACCAGUGGCGAAGGCGGCUACCUGGACCAGCACUGACACUCAGGCACGAAAGCGUGGGGAGCAAACAGG
rnacentral:rRNA from 1 species